CACCACCACUGAGGUGAAGCGGUGGCCACUGGUCUCCACUGUUCCCAUGCGGUUCCUCCCCCAGCAGAGGCCCAGCCACCCACUUGCUGCCGUUCCUGUGAGGAACAUCACCACUCAUUCAAACAUACUCCUGACAGGGUUGCUGUUGCAGCUCCUGCCACAUAGUAUUACUGCUGCUAUUUGUGGUGCUGUAAUCCCACCUUUAGGCUCAUGGAACUGCUUGAAUCUCCACCAACUUUAUCACUAUUUCACCAUUCAGAAGGUCACGAGGGAACGCCCUGACUGACCCCACGGCCAUAAAGUCCACGCCACACCCUACCCUGAGACAUGCCCGGAGCCACACCCCCGCGUAACCAUUCAUCACGCCCGUAGCAUCACCCUCACCCGCCCCC